rnacentral:rRNA from 1 species
GAUGAACGCUGGCGGCGUGCUUAACACAUGCAAGUCGAACGGUGAACGAGGGAGCUUGCUCCCUCCGGAUCAGUGGCGAACGGGUGAGUAACACGUGAGCAAUCUGCCCUGGACUCUGGGAUAGGCGUUGGAAACGACGUCUAAUACCGGAUACGAGGCGUGGGGGCAUCCCCACCGCCUGGAAAGAACUUCGGUCCAGGAUGAGCUCGCGGCCUAUCAGGUAGUUGGUGAGGUAAUGGCUCACCAAGCCUACGACGGGUAGCCGGCCUGAGAGGGUGACCGGCCACACUGGGACUGAGACACGGCCCAGACUCCUACGGGAGGCAGCAGUGGGGAAUAUUGCACAAUGGGCGAAAGCCUGAUGCAGCAACGCCGCGUGAGGGACGACGGCCUUCGGGUUGUAAACCUCUUUUAGCAGGGAAGAAGCGAAAGUGACGGUACCUGCAGAAAAAGCACCGGCUAACUACGUGCCAGCCGCCGCAGUAACAC